rnacentral:lncRNA from 10 species
CGCUCAGUCAGCAGGGUGGGCGUGGCCUUCUCCCUGCCUGCAUCUGAAAUGCAGUUUAAAGGUCAGGAAGACUGAUCUUUCGCUUCUGAAUCCUCUGAGAGUUCCUCAGGCCCUCCUGUGUGAGGCCCAGCUGCUUCCUGCCUGGUCUUCCUGGAUCCACAGAGCUGCAGCUGCAGUUCCUCUUCCCCUGACGUCUGAGGCCGGGCCUGCUCCAGGUCGGAGGUAUAGCGGGGUGACGAAGAGGAGGCUGCAAUGACCAUCAUGUCUCUGUGACCACACGAUUACCCAUCGGCUCCCACACCCCUCUGCCUGCCAGGAAGCUGAGGCUCAAGAGAACUGAGAGGAGGGGAACAACGGCCGUUGAGGCCCCCGUGGGCCAAGCAGUGUGCCAGGCACUCUAUCAAACAAUGGAGGUAGGUGAGCUUAUCCCCACUGUACAGAUGAGGAAACUGAGGUUCAGAGAACUGGUUGCCCAGGUCACACAGCUUGGAGGAAGCAGAAUAUAGAAUGCUAUCUGACUCCAAACCCAUGCUUCCACUAUCGCGCCAUCCUAUCAGGCAGCUAACGAAUGAUAAUGAAUCUAUAACAACGUUAUUAUCUGAGCUAA